GAUGAACGCUGGCGGCGUGCCUAAUACAUGCAAGUCGAGCGAACAGACGAGGAGCUUGCUCCUCUGACGUUAGCGGCGGACGGGUGAGUAACACGUGGAUAACCUACCUUUAAGACUGGGAUAACUUCGGGAAACCGGAGCUAAUACCGGAUAACAUGUUGAACCGCAUGGUUCAACAGUGAAAGACGGUCUUGCUGUCACUUAUAGAUGGAUCCGCGCCGCUUGAGCUAGUUGGUAAGGUAACGGCUUACCAAGGCAACGAUGCGUAGCCGCCCUGAGAGGGUGAUCGGCCACACUGGAACUGAGACACGGUCCAGACUCCUACGGGAGGCAGCAGUAGGGAAUCUUCCGCAAUGGGCGAAAUCCUGACGGAGCAACGCCGCGUGAGUGAAGAAGGUCUUCGGAUCGUAAAACUCUGUUAUUAGGGAAGAACAAAUGUGUAAGUAACUAUGCACGUCUUGACGGUACCUAAUCAGAAAGCCACGGCUAACUACGUG
rnacentral:rRNA from 1 species